rnacentral:rRNA from 1 species
AGUCGACGGGGAUACGUUUUCGGAUGUAUUCUAGUGGCGCANNNGNNNNGUAACGCGUGAGCGACCUGACCCAAAGAGGGGGAUAACAUCGAGAAAUCGAUGCUAAUACCGCAUAAGACCACGGUAUCGCAUGGUACAGAGGUCAAAGGAGCAAUCCGCUUUGGGAGGGGCUCGCGUCCCAUUAGAUAGUAGGCGGGGUAACGGCCCACCUAGUCAACGAUGGGUAGCCGAGCUGAGAGGCUGAUCGGCCACACUGGAACUGAGACACGGUCCAGACUCCUACGGGAGGCAGCAGUGGGGAAUAUUGGGCAAUGGGCGAAAGCCUGACCCAGCAACGCCGCGUGAGGGAAGAAGGUUUUCGGAUUGUAAACCUCUGUCGCAGAUGACGAAGGAAGUGACGGUAAUCUGUGAGGAAGCCCCGGCUAACUACGUGCCAGCAGCCGCGGUAAUACGUAGGGGGCGAGCGUUGUCCGGAAUUACUGGGCGUAAAGGGUGCGUAGGCGGUUGAUUAAGUUGGAUGUGAAAUACCCGGGCUUAACCUGGGGGGUGCAUUCAAAACUGGUCAACUAGAGUUCAGGAGAGGGAAGCGGAAUUCCUAGUGUAGCGGUGAAAUGCGUAGAUAUUAGGAGGAACACCAGUGGCGAAGGCGGCUUUCUGGACUGACACUGACGCUGAGGCACGAAAGCGUGGGGAGCAAACAGGAUUAGANNNCCUGGUAGUCCACGCGGUAAACGAUGAAUACUAGGUGUAGGGGGUAUCAACUCCCUCUGUGCCGCAGCAAACGCAAUANG